rnacentral:tRNA from 1 species
GUGUGGCUCUGACUAGGGGUGUCGCCUCCCUCACAAGGAGGCGGUCACGUGUUCAAGUCACGUUGCGCCCA